CCUUGAGGUAUAUCUGUUCGAGCGCCGUUAAAUCUGAGGCAUUGCCUUGUGUUGAUUUUUCUGAUUUAAGAAUUAUUGAAAUAUAUUGGCGUCAUUGAAUGACUCAAAUUACAGCGAAAUGUAAUGAGAAUCAAAAAAAUGAUUGCCUGUUCUCUCCAAAACAUGGCCUCGGAUCAGAUAGGGAUACCCGCUGAACUUAA
rnacentral:misc_RNA from 1 species